AGAAGGCAGGAAAACCUUUUUACUGUUGAUAUCAAGUUCAUUGAAGUAUAACAUACAUCCAACAAAAUUUUGCAUCUUUAACAAAUGGAAAUACCAUGGAAAUACUCGUGUAACUAUCACAAUUGAUACACAGGUUUCUGUCCAAAAAGCUCUCUUUAGUCUGAGCUGGGGCCCAGACAACGACCAUCUGCUGCUGAUUCUCUUGAUGCCUGUAGGGUCUGUUAUGAUGACCCUCCUCCAUUCCUGGUCUUGCUAACAUGUGCUCUCUCUCUUCUUGAUCAGUCUAGGUUGGAGUUUAUCAAGUUUGCCAGUCCCUUCAAAGAACCAACUUUUGGUUUUGCUAAAUUUCUCUGUCAUCUGCUCUUUAUUUCAUUGAUUUCUGUUCUUUAUUUUUUGUUAACACUUACUUUGUGUUACUUUUGCUCUUCUUUUUCUAGCAUUUUAAGGUGGAACUUCAGGUCGUUGAUUUUAAGCAUUUCUUCUUUUGAGGAUGGGCAUUUAGAGCUAUAAAUUUCCCACUAACCAAGUAGUGUUCUAAAUGCUUAAUUGGAAUGAUUAAAAUUUUAUAAAUUUUGUAAAAGUUUUAAUCUGUAAAAUUUAUUCAGAUUCACACAUUUCCUUGAAGAUGCCCCUGAAGCUUCCUUCGCAUAGCACUGGGGUGAUGUGGCAUGUUUAGGGCUGCCCUGGCCUUGUCCCGCUGGCUGUUUCUCUUGGUUUUGGGGAGCUGUGACCCAGGGAUUGGUGACCGUGGGCUCACUCAGUGAUGACGACAGGAAGACGGAUGUUUUUCACACAAGUGCCUGAAGAGAAAAUGCACAUUAAUUUUUUUUUCUCUUGGAUGUACAGCGUUGGUAAACCAAGUCAAGCAGAAAGGAGGUGGAAGGAAAUUCCUGGCUUUCCUGGCAGCUUGUCUGUCUGGGCACUUCAUGGUAGUUUGUUCACUGGCACCAGCGGACCUAGCAGGUCCCAUUCAUGCAAACGUUGUCUCUGCCCCCAGGCUCUCUGCAAAGCACACCAGGGUGUUUGUUUCUAUACAAACUGGAUUUAUCCCUCUGGUCAGUCAAGCCUACUCCUUCAGAUUUUAACCUGAUUUGUUAUGGAAAGGAGAACUGUCGAGCGGCUGCCCCUGCUGGCCUCUUCCCAAUAACUUCUGAGCUUGCAGGUGGAUUUCCACCGCAUUUGACCUAGAGGCGGAAUAUUGAAGGCCUCUCCACAGGGCAGGGUCCUGCUCAGGACUGGAACGCAUCCAGCCCAAGCAGAAAUCUGCUGUGGACAUUCCUGGGAUGGGAUAGGAUCCAAUUGAAGAUUGUUACAGGACCCCAGAGGGUUAGCUCUGUGCUGGUAUUGGGUACCAGUGAGCAGUGAAUUUGUGAGGCCUGGUGAACCAGGCAGACUCGUGUAGAGCACAGACAAGCCUGAGAAUACAGACCAGAGAUAUAAUGGGAGCUGGGAAGUUGUGCCCACUCUGGACAGAGCUGCACCCAGGACCAGCAGACACUGAAGAAAGGAGCCCAGGGCUUCUCUGAAGCUGACAAGACUGUCCCCAAGAGAAAGGGUGCCUGGCUUCUCCUGGCCACAACAUAGCCCCAGUGCAGACACAGCCAGGCCUGCCCUGUGGCUUGUGACCACAAGACGGCCUUCCUGGAGCCCAGCUGGGCCUGGAACUCAGAGCCAGGCUAGACACCUCCUCCACCCUUGCUGGCUGGCAGAGAUGGGAUCCUAGAGGUGUAUCCAGGGUCUGGGCAUAGUAGAUGUUCAGUGAAAGGCAGUUGCUGCAAUCAUGCUGGCAAUCAACGAUGUAAUCACCAAUAUCCUUUCUCCCUGAGCUAUCCUCAUGCUGGUGAUGGUGGAGAGAUUGGGGACCUCAUUCUGAGGGGCCAAACCAAAUGCAGGGAAUACAAGGUCUGAGAGACGAACCACAUGUCACGGUAGCCAGUGGCCAGUGCACGCGAACCUGUGUAUAUUGACUUUGAUCGGCUUUGAGGCCGAACCUUCUGGGAUCCCACCUCCAUGGCCGAAAGGCAUCUAAUUCUCCUUUGAUCCUGUAAAGGGCAGUUUGAUUUCUCCUGUAAACAUCCACAGAAACCGGAGGCCUGAGAUAGUGACACUGGAAGGUGGGCAGGCUGCUAAUGAGGAUUCCUGGCUGCGAUUCAGCCUCAGCACGCAGCUCUGUGUGCCUGGCUGUUGUUAACUGUGCAGUGCUCUGGUUAAGCGAGGCUGGGAGUGGCACUGGCGUGUUAGUAAUCCGCACUCACCAGCACCACGCGGGCUCCCCGGCCUCUGUGCCUCUCGGCAAUGCCGCACCCAUGGGAAGGGAGGAGAAGCUCCCGCCCACCCUCCAUCUGUGCCCGUGUCAGGGCUUACGGGAACAUAUGCUGCCUGUUACUCACUGACCAUCUGUUCACAGAGCUGAUGAAGUGUCCCGGUUACCCUGGCAACGAAGCCCUUGAUUGGCGGCGGCUCCACAAACAUUUGCUGCUCAGGCUGGAGUCUAAGGGCUGAGGAUUCUCAGCCUCCCAGUCCAGGGCAGCAGCUGCCCAGAAGCCACCUCACGGCAGUGGACAUCUGUGCCCCCGUUUUGGAGACCUGGUGUGAUGAGGACACAUGGGCUGCAAUUAGCUGUUAGCAGGGCCGUCCAUGGACCACAGUCCCAGGAAGACGUUCUGCUCAGUUGCUCCGGAAGGGACCUAGGGUGCACUGCAAUUGCGGAGGGGUGGUUGCUGCUGAUCCCAGACCCCAGAGGGAGUUCCUGAGUUUUUAGCUUGAGUUGAGGAGCUGAUAAUGGAAGCUGCAGCAGCCCGUUCAUGGCAGUCCCAAAAGGAGGCAAACCACCUCCUCUCCGCUAAGGACAUCGGCCAAGUGCUGAGGCCAAAGGCCUGCAGAUGAACCCUAGUGUGAGAUGGACAGGCUGAGGCACAACACUAGUGCCAAACUGAGCCUUCGUUCUUUUCUUUAGCGAGACCUGGGAUUGAGCGUCACAAAGUCUAGAUUCUAUUUAUUCCACCGUCUCACAGUCUGGUAGCACAUGUCUGUGGGGAGCCCUCCUCACUCCUGUCUGAGCUUGGAAUCCUGGGACUAAGAAUAGCAGCGUGGCCCUGCUCUGCACAGGACUGGUGUGAGUGCCAGAAUGCUGAGUCUCAGGGCAUGUGGAUUGCACAUUCAUGGCAUGUGGAGGCCACGUGGGGUCUCAGACAGCACAGGUGAGGGAGCUCUGUGUCCACAGGGACCACGACAUUUUAUCACAAGGGGCACAGCACGCCAGCGUCCUCUCUCCCAGGAAGAGAGGCCCCAGGCUGUCUGCUGUUGGCUGAGAUGAUUGAGUCACUGGCCCUGCCGCACAGCUGGGGUCAGACACGGAGGCCAGGCUCUGCUCCAGGCUCUCUGGGGCCUUCUUGUCACCGGAUGCUGAGCAGAAGUGGGGUGACACAGAAUGCCCACACCCCACAAACUCCCUGGGAAGUCAGUGUCUCUGAAAGAUUCCAUCUGGGACAAACAGAAGCCAUCACUUGGUUAGAGUCCGCCCAUCACGGCUCUGCCUGGAAUGGAGACGGCCUGGACCCAGGUGUCAUCACUCUCUCUGCUCAUGGCCCCCAGAAUUUUGCAAAAUCUGUUUUAAAAGUUUCCUUGUAAAAGUGACCCGUCCUCCGUCAGGAGCCUGGGUCUCACUGGCCAUUUUAGGAGUGCAGCCUUCCCGAGCUCAGCAGAAUCCCUCCGUCACAGUGAGCACGGGUGGCACUGUCCUUCCCCUUCCUGGGUCCUCCCAGGCUGGCGACCCCUCGUGGCCUUGAUUCUACCCUUUCAAAAGUCCAGCUCCCACCGGCCCCUGCAAGGCGCGCUGCGGGGUCACCACAGGUCUGUCCAGGGCACGGUCAGGCCCAUGAGACCCCUUGUUCUAUAGGACGCUACUCUCCUUAAAAACAGGGACUUUGUCCCUCACUGAAUUGUAGUUUUCUGUAUCAUUCGUCAUUGCAGCUUUGAAGCAUCAAGAGUGUUUCCUAAAUAUGAUUAAAAUCUGGCCUUCAGACAGCUUUUGAAUUAACUGACAAAUGUAUGUUGGGCACGAAACGGAUUUAGGGACGUCUGCCCUGGGCUUUUACCAAACUCCAGCUCUUACACUUUAUUAUCUCACCUGAAAUAAAAUUGAAAUUUCUUCAUAA